UUCCUGCUAUAGUAUAUAGAAUUGGGGGAUCGGCAAAUAUUUUGCACUUUUCUUUUCUGCAGUUAAAAUUCUCUUUUUUGAAAAUAAAAUAAAAUAAAAAAUAUUUGAUACCUAUGCGGGGUUAACGACAUGGGCAUGUAAUCAUCGUUGUAAUCCACCUCUAUUUAGAAAGGAUUUCAAAUGAGUAGACCAAUUCUCAUUCUUUUUUUUACUUUUACACGUUACCAGCACUUUGGUUCCUUUGAGACAAAAGAAAAAAAACAUGAAACCCUAAUUUUUCUUUCAACCUAGCGUCGGUGGGCAGCGACCAAAGUGCAACCGACGCACACCCAGGCCCCAGCACCAUCGAAGCCUCCAACCAUUGCUAUCCUCCCACAAGCACCCAUACUAGUGCCGACAACCCCCUCCGCUCAGCACAUCGCACGUAUUCCAGCAAGGCUACGCUCUGACCCAGCCUUGACACACAUCGGCCCCCACCAAGCUCUGCAACCGAAGCCGCCACUGCACGCUUACAAAUCUAAUUCGAUCCGGCAGUGCUAACUACUACCCCAUGCUAACCCCCUGCUUUCUCUCCCACCGGCAGCGACCACCUCGGCUCAUGUUGCGGACAUCUUCACAUGUGGAAAGGAUUAAACCACAUGUUUUGACCCCCAGGCUAACAAGCCUAGAUGCCGAGAUUUCACAUCUCAUGCGCUCAAAUUCUUUGACGCGCCACAUCGACAAAAGCCUUCAAUGGCAAUCUGUGCAAAAAGUAAUGACCAUAAAGUACUGUGGAAUGCACUCAUGGAGCGUUUCUCGAAACGUUCAUAUAACUCUCCUUGUUGAGUUAUUAGUCAAGUGGAUUGCUUACCACCUUAAUUGACUACAUAUUGUCGAUGAUCUUUUGUGGCAUCAUGAUCCAUAAUCUUUAGCGGAUUCGAUAAUCAUCAAGUUCUCUAGGUCCUCCAAGUUGGUGUGGAAUUACCAACGAGACUUGAUUUUGAUCAUACAAACAGGAAUUGUAUAUACGCUAAUGUGAUAAACUUAUUUGGGAUUAUCCCCUAAUGUGGGGACAACAAUAUGGGUCAUGGCAACGGCAGAAAAUGU
rnacentral:lncRNA from 1 species